GUGGCCCCCGCCCCCAGACCCGGGGAACUCAAAGGCUAAGUGUGUCCUGGGCUCGGCCCCUGCUGUCCCCCGCUGCGAGGGCUUGCCCGGCCGGCCUGCCCCAGUCGGCCAUCCCCGGCCUGGGCUGGUCUCCAGCACCUCCCUCACUUGGUCCUCUCCUGGAGGGACCCAGCCCCAGGGCCCUCACUUCCCACACAACCUGGCCCAACACAGGUUUGGGGAGGAGGAAAGCCACCAGGGAAAGGAGUGAGCUCAGACCCGCCCCUCUCACCUACAGUGGCAGGAUCCAGACUACCAGAGUUCUGAUGGGGAAACUGAGGCACGGGAAAUUUGUGUCUGGGUGACAGCCAGCACCUUUCAAUCCCCUUCCCCUUGCUUUACCUGGGAGCCACCUCCCAACUCAGUCCUCGCCACAUAUACACCCUCACGGGUGCACGACACCUCCAGAGAGCCACUUCCUUGCACACGAGCUCGCACACGGGCGCACACACACAGGGGCACAAACAGGCAACGUCCCAAGCAUUCCUGUCCAGCCUCCACGGACCCCUUUCUCCCAAAGCCCCUUUCUUUCUCCAUCCUCGAGGUUGGCUCUAGGCCAACCUGGCAUUCCCCUGCUAACUGGCUGCUUUCACUUGCUAAUUAUUCUAAAUACUGCAGGAGGGCACGCAGCCUGCAGGGUCCUGGAAGGCAGGCUGAGGGCUGCCUCAAUUCUCUUCACCCCGCAAGCGACUCCCCCUCCUUCUCCCCACUGUCCACCCGCUUCCUCUUCAUGGACCUCAGCAUUGGGGAACAAGGUGGGCUCCAGCCUUUUCCCCACAGGAUCAGCCUCCCGCUUUGGACUGAGAGGCGGGGCGUGUAGCUGUGUGCCCCAGGCCUGUGCUGGGGGUAAGAGGGGCAAUGUCUGGGGCAAGCAGGACCUCCUACUGGGGGAGCACCAGGCCUGAGAAGCAGAUCAAGGUUUGCCCCAGCUUGACAGUCACCUGGAGGCUCCUGAAAAAUCCCACUGCCAUUCUCCUGCCUCAGCCUCCCGAGUAGCUGGGACUACAGGCGCCCGCCACCACGCCCGGCUAAUUUUUUGGAUUUUUAGUAAAGAUGGGGUUUCACCAUGUUAGCCAGGAUGGUCUUGAUCUCCUGACUUCGUGAUCUGCCCGCCUCAGCCUCCCAAAGUGCUGGGAUUACAGGCGUGAGUCACCGCACCCAGCCUCUCCAGAUAAUUUUUAAAAUCAGCCAGGCAUGGAGGUGUGCAUCUGUGGUCCCAGCUACUCUCUACACAGGAGGCUGAGGCAGGAGAAUUGCCUGAGCUGAGCCCACGAGGUCAAGGCUUCAGUGAGCUGUGAUUGCACAACUGCAUUCCUGCAUGGGUGGCAGAGUAACACCAUGUCUCAAAAAAAAAAAAAAAA
rnacentral:lncRNA from 1 species